rnacentral:rRNA from 1 species
UACGGAGGGUGCAAGCGUUAAUCGGAAUUACUGGGCGUAAAGCGUGCGCAGGCGGUUUGUUAAGUCCGUUGUGAAAGCCCCGGGCUCAACCUGGGAAUGGCAAUGGAUACUGGCGAGCUAGAGUGUGAUAGAGGAUGGUGGAAUUCCCGGUGUAGCGGUGAAAUGCGUAGAGAUCGGGAGGAACAUCAGUGGCGAAGGCGGCCAUCUGGAUCAACACUGACGCUGAAGCACGAAAGCGUGGGGAGCAAACAGG